CAGUGCCAUAUCACGUAGUGGUGGCGGUGGCAUCUCAGUCGGAGGCAUGUCUAGCAUUACAAGCUCCUUAAGCAGUACGACUCAAAUGACAAGACGCAUUUAAAACAGAAUGAGUUUCUUUCCCUUUGAUUUUGCAAGUUUCCUCUUUCAUCAAAGGGUAAAACUCAACAAGUGCAACAACCUGAAUGCUUUCUGAAAGCUAUUUCCUUGUAUUUGUUUGUCUUUUAAGUUCAACCACCCAAAAGCAGAGUUUCUGCUAAAGAACACCAGAUAUGACACAGUGAGAUGUGAUUUAGAAAGGUUAUUUAGUAUUAAAUGAAAAAAAAAACUUUGUUAUCCUUAAAAAGGCCGUGUUAACAGAUAAUGCAGCUAACUAAACAAUUAGGAACACUACAACAGAAGAUCAGCCCAAUAUAAGCAUUGACCAUAAUUAAAGGUCCUCUCCACAUUUAUAAAGCAGGCUUUCACGGCAGAGCACUAAACAGAAUUUCCUAAAGAUAAGGACAAGUCCCACAUACUUAGUUUUCUGGUUUAGUUCCUGCUGCCAUCCACAUUCCACAUCUGAUCAAGUGAACCUGGUCUGUACACUUUCAGGACUACAAUCCAUGAAUAUGUAGAACUUUCCACUCUUUUUAUCUCCCAGCCCCUAAGUAAAAGUGCCAACUUGCUCAGUUUCUAUCCAUAACCUGUGAGCAAACAGAUAUUUUUGCCAAGCUUUUCCUCAUUUCAAGAAAUAGGCCAGGAUCUGCAGAGAACACACUUGAUUACAUAUCAGCACACUCCAAUACUUCACUACUUUACUGUAUAGUAAAAUAAGUAAACAAUUUAACUUGUAUUCUGUUA